ACGGGUAGCCGGCCUGAGAGGGUGACCGGCCACACUGGGACUGAGACACGGCCCAGACUCCUACGGGAGGCAGCAGUGGGGAAUAUUGCACAAUGGGCGCAAGCCUGAUGCAGCGACGCCGCGUGAGGGAUGACGGCCUUCGGGUUGUAAACCUCUUUCAGUAGGGAAGAAGCGAAAGUGACGGUACCUGCAGAAGAAGCACCGGCUAACUACGUGCCAGCAGCCGCGGUAAUACGUAGGGUGCGAGCGUUAUCCGGAAUUAUUGGGCGUAAAGAGCUCGUAGGCGGUUUGUCGCGUCUGUCGUGAAAGUCCGGGGCUUAACCCCGGAUCUGCGGUGGGUACGGGCAGACUAGAGUGCAGUAGGGGAGACUGGAAUUCCUGGUGUAGCGGUGGAAUGCGCAGAUAUCAGGAGGAACACCGAUGGCGAAGGCAGGUCUCUGGGCUGUAACUGACGCUGAGGAGCGAAAGCAUGGGGAGCGA
rnacentral:rRNA from 1 species